CCAAUAGCGUAUACUAAAGUUGUUGCAGUUAAAAAGCUCGUAGUUGAAUUUCGGGAUCAGUACGCUGGUCGUGCCGUCGGUAUGCACUGGUUUCACUGAUUCCUCCCUUCUGAAGAACUGUCAUGCCAUUCAGUUGGUGUAGCGGGGAAUCAGGACUGUUACUUUGAUAAAUUUAGAGUGUUUAAAGCAGGCACGCGCUUGAAUCCAUUAGCAUGGAAUAAUGAAAUAGGACGUUUGAUCCUAUUUUGUUGGUUUCUAGGAUCGACGUAAUGAUUAAUAGGGAUAGUUGGGGGCAUUAGUAUUCAAUUGUCAGAGGUGAAAUUCUUGGAUUUAUUGAAGACUAACUACUGCGAAAGCAUUUGCCAAGGAUGUUUUCAUUAAUCAAGAACGAAAGUUAGGGGAUCGAAGACGAUCAGAUACCGUCGUAGUCUUAACCAUAAACUAUGCCGACUAGGGAUCGGAUGAUGUUAAUUUUUUAAUGACUCAUUCGGCGCCUUACG
rnacentral:rRNA from 1 species